rnacentral:sRNA from 1 species
AGUGAUGAGUUUUGUCAAGAUGUCGCCAACGCUUGCAGCUUUGAAAAAUUGAAGAAACUUGAGGAGGCUGGCGCCAAGAAUUUCCCAACGGAAUUCGCCCAUGUGCUCAAUGAAUUAGGCGGGAAAAUGCAUUUUUAUAGGAAAGGAAUCAUCGGAGAUUGGAAAAAUAUGUUCACAGUAGCACAGAAUGAAAUAUUUGACGCCUACAUCGAUUCUUGUAUUAAAAACAAGGGACUGAACUACACUUUUAUUUAUGAAUGAAAACAUACGAUGCAAACAAGGGACUGAACUACACUUUUAUUUAUGAAUGAAAACAUACGAUGCAAACAAGGGAAUGAACUCCAAUUUUAUUUAUGAAUACCAUGAAUUUACAUACCAUGCAAACAAGGGAGUAAACUACAUUUCUAUUUAUAAAUAAAAACACACGAUGCUGGAGCAAUCAAAUUGUUUUAAAUGACUGCUCAAAAUAAAAAACAGUUAACGAAUGACUCACAGUGUUGUAUGUACACAAGAAAUACCAAGUUAAUAUAAUGAACGGUAAAUACAUAAACCAUGUUACCAUUUUCAACUGAAGUGUCACACCCGCAUGGAAGUUAGAUUAUACUAUAUAUACCGCAGGGUGCUAUACCCUAUACACAGAUCAAUCGAACGCCAAAUAAAGACAACUGCACAAAGACAGAUAUAUACUUCCAUAUUCUGUGCACCGGAUACACCAACGAUAAGAAAACUUCCUAUUUUUUUUCCAUUGAACAAAAUCUCCGAUUUUGGAUUCUCAUGCCAAGAUUAAUUAGAGUAAUUUCCCUGUUUAUGUCGGUAUGAAUAAAUGGUAUAAAUGUUAUUGUAUCAGUAUGAAUGUAUAGUAUAAAUGUAUAAAUAAAAUUGUAUAAUUACAUAUUUAAAAACAUUAAAAGUUUUGGCAGUGAACAAGACAACAAGAAAAAAUCUCUCAAAGUCAGCACAUGGUAAGCUAGCCAUCUGCCAUUCCUAAUGUUAAUUGAAUGUGUUUAAUACAUAUACAUAUGCACUCAAUACAUUGUCUCAGCUGUGGACAUUAUGGACCCUAAA